rnacentral:rRNA from 1 species
GGGGAGUGGCAGACGGGUGAGUAACGCGUGGGAACAUACCCUUUCCUGCGGAAUAGCUCCGGGAAACUGGAAUUAAUACCGCAUACGCCCUACGGGGGAAAGAUUUAUCGGGGAAGGAUUGGCCCGCGUUGGAUUAGCUAGUUGGUGGGGUAAAGGCCUACCAAGGCGACGAUCCAUAGCUGGUCUGAGAGGAUGAUCAGCCACAUUGGGACUGAGACACGGCCCAAACUCCUACGGGAGGCAGCAGUGGGGAAUAUUGGACAAUGGGCGCAAGCCUGAUCCAGCCAUGCCGCGUGAGUGAUGAAGGCCUUAGGGUUGUAAAGCUCUUUCACCGGAGAAGAUAAUGACGGUAUCCGGAGAAGAAGCCCCGGCUAACUUCGUGCCAGCAGCCGCGGUAAUACGAAGGGGGCUAGCGUUGUUCGGAAUUACUGGGCGUAAAGCGCACGUAGGCGGAUAUUUAAGUCAGGGGUGAAAUCCCAGAGCUCAACUCUGGAACUGCCUUUGAUACUGGGUAUCUUGAGUAUGGAAGAGGUAAGUGGAAUUCCGAGUGUAGAGGUGAAAUUCGUAGAUAUUCGGAGGAACACCAGUGGCGAAGGCGGCUUACUGGUCCAUUACUGACGCUGAGGUGCGAAAGCGUGGGGAGCAAACAGG